rnacentral:rRNA from 1 species
AUGGUAGGAUAGAGGCCUACCAUGGUGGUAACGGGUAACGGGGUGUUAGGGCACGACACCGGAGAGGGAGCCUGAGAAACGGCUACCACAUCCAAGGAUGGCAGCAGGCGCGCAAAUUACCCAAUCCCGACACGGGGAGGUAGUGACAAUAAAUAACAAUACGGGGUUCUUUAGGAUCUCGUAAUUGGAAUGAGUACAAUUUAAAUCUCUUAACGAGGAACAAUUGGAGGGCAAGUCUGGUGCCAGCAGCCGCGGUAAUUCCAGCUCCAAUAGCGUAUAUNAAAGUUGUUGCAGUUAAAAAGCUCGUAGUUGAAUUUCGGGGUCAGUAGGUCGGUCGUGCCACUGGUAUGAACUGGUUUUACUGAUUCCUCCCUCUUGAAGAACUGUAAUGCCAUUAAUUUGGUGUUGCAGGGAAUCAGGACUGUUACUUUGAAAAAAUUAGAGUGUUUAAAGCAGGCUUUAGCUUGAAUACAUUAGCAUGGAAUAAUGAAAUAGGACGUUUGAUCCUAUUUUGUUGGUUUCUAGGAUUGACGUAAUGAUUAAUAGGGAUAGUUGGGGGCAUUAGUAUUCAAUUGUCAGAGGUGAAAUUCUUGGAUUUAUUGAAGACUAACUACUGCGAAAGCAUUUGCCAAGGAUGUUUUCAUUAAUCAAGAACGAAAGUUAGGGGAUUGAAGACGAUCAGAUACCGUCGUAGUCUUAGCCAUAAACUAUGCCGACUAGGGAUCGGAUGAUGUUAAUUUUUUAAUGACUCAUUCGGCGCCUUACGGGAAACCAAAGUGUUUGGG